rnacentral:rRNA from 2 species
GGGGUACGUUAUCGGAUUAUUGGGCGUAAGCGAGCGCAGGCGGUUUUUUAAGUCUGAUGUGAAAGCCUUCGGCUCAACCGAAGAAGUGCAUCGGAAACUGGGAAACUUGAGUGCAGAAGAGGACAGUGGAACUCCAUGUGUAGCGGUGAAAUGCGUAGAAAUAUGGAAGAACACCAGUGGCGAAGGCGGCUGUCUGGUCUGUAACUGACGCUGAGGCUCGAAAGUAUGGGUAGCAAACAGGAUUAGAUACCCUGGUAGUCCAUACCGUAAACGAUGAAUGCUAAGUGUUGGAGGGUUUCCGCCCUUCAGUGCUGCAGCUAACGCAUUAAGCAUUCCGCCUGGGGAGUACGGCCGCAAGGCUGAAACUCAAAGGAAUUGACGGGGGCCCGCACAAGCGGUGGAGCAUGUGGUUUAAUUCGAAGCUACGCGAAGAACCUUACCAGGUCUUGACAUACUAUGCAAAUCUAAGAGAUUAGACGUUCCCUUCGGGGACAUGGAUACAGGUGGUGCAUGGUUGUCGUCAGCUCGUGUCGUGAGAUGUUGGGUUAAGUCCCGCAACGAGCGCAACCCUUAUUAUCAGUUGCCAGCAUUAAGUUGGGCACUCUGGUGAGACUGCCGGUGACAAACCGGAGGAAGGUGGGGAUGACGUCAAAUCAUCAUGCCCCUUAUGACCUGGGCUACACACGUGCUACAAUGGAUGGUACAACGAGUUGCGAACUCGCGAGAGUAAGCUAAUCUCUUAAAGCCAUUCUCAGUUCGGAUUGUAGGCUGCAACUCGCCUACAUGAAGUCGGAAUCGCUAGUAAUCGCGGAUCAGCAUGCCGCGGUGAAUACGUUCCCGGGCCUUGUACACACCGCCCGUCACACCAUGAGAGUUUGUAACACCCAAAGUCGGUGGGGUAACCUUUUAGGAACCAGCCGCCUAAGGUGGGACAGAUGAUUAGGGGUGAAGUCGUAACAAGGUAGCCGUAGGAGAACCUGCGCUGGUCACCCCCCUCUUUUAAAAAAAAAAACCCCCCCCUUUAAAUUUUGACUCCGGGCCCC